UUUCAGCCAUUCCAGGGUGCUGUAGGAUGC
rnacentral:piRNA from 1 species